rnacentral:rRNA from 2 species
CUUGGUGGCUAUAGCGUGUGGGAACCACCCGAUCCCAUUCCGAACUCGGAAGUGAAAACGCACAGCGCCGAUGGUACUAUGUCUUAAGGCAUGGGAGAGUAGGUCGUCGCCAAGU